AUGUACCAGCAAGAAGGGGUCCCCCUACGCCACUGCAUGGACCAGCAGUUCGUGGAGCCGCCGCUGCUUGGCCAUCAAGAGCAGUACUACACGUCGCCGAUGGCGACCCCGUCGUUCCAUCCAUCUCGAAGCUCCGAUUUCCCAAGCUUUGGUGGCUCGUCGUCGUUGCCGAACCUGCCGUUCGGAUCGGCGACGGUGAAGAACGAGCUGGGGCAGCCGUCUCCGCCGCCGUCGUCGAACUUUCUCUCCUUCGGCGCUGGCCAGGCUGGCACCCUCAAUUUCUCCGGAGGCGCCUGGCAGCACGACGGCGUGGAAGGGACGAUGCAGCUGCAGGCGCCGGAGAGGCGGAGCAGGGCGCCGGCGAACGCGCAGGAGCACGUCAUCGCCGAGCGCAAGCGGCGGGAGAAGCUGCAGCAGCAGUUCGUGUCCUUGGCCACCAUCGUCCCCGGCCUCAAAAAGACAGACAAGAUCUCUCUGCUGGGGAGCACCAUCGACUACGUGAAGCAGCUGGAGGACAAGGUGAAGGCCCUGGAGGAGCAAGGCUCGCGGAGGUCGUCGGAGUCCACCACCGUCUUCGAGAGCAAGUGCCGCAUAUCCGCCGCCGACAACGACGCAGCAGGACCCAGCGGGUCCGGGGACGCGGCCGAGGACUCGAGCCCGGCCGUCAAGGCCAGCAUCCGGGGGCACACGGCGCUCCUGAAAAUCUGCUGCAAGGAGAGGAGAGGGGUGCUGGUGAUGGUCCUCUCCGAGCUCGAGAACCAGGGCCUCUCCAUCAUAAACACCAACGUCGUCCCGUUCACCGACUCCUGCCUCAACAUCACCAUCACGGCCAAGAUCGAAGAGGGCUUUUCGUCCGCGGCUGAGCUCGUGAGGAACCUGACCGUGGCUCUCAGAAGUUUCAGUUGA
rnacentral:rRNA from 1 species